ACCCCAUUGUAUUGAACUUGGAAAGUUCGCUCACGUCAUUUAGUCAUGAGUGCCUCAGAUGUGAACUUCGCCUUGUUAGGAGUUUUGUGGUUCUGUUUGAUUGUUCAUGUCACCUGUGCCUCUGAUCAAAGUGACAGCUCUUUGGCUUUACCUCAAUGCAUAUCCAACGUCGACUGCGAUGAAAGAUUGGCCUGUAUCGACCUAAAAUGUCAAGAUCCAUGUCCUGGACCCUGCCAUGGUAAUAUCACCUGUGAGAUCGUUGACCAUGUACCGUACUGUUCCUGCAAACCUGGCUUCUCCGGCAGCCCCUUCACUGGAUGACAACGAGCUUCACCAGGAAACUGUUCAACAACUGGUAUAAAAGUGUACAAGGUGGAGCGUUUCAUUAAGGUCAACUGGUUUGCUGCGAUAGUUCAUUGCCAGUCACACGGGUGGAGGUUAGCUACGAUAGAUUCCAAGGAGGAAAAUGACUUGAUCAAAGAAGAAAUCCGUAAAACAAGAAUACGAAAUAAUCGGUUCUGGACUUCCGGUACAAAUUAUGCCCAUGGACAUUGGAUCUGGAUGGUUUCUGGGAUGCCCCUGCCAGAGAGUACGGACUGGGAGCCUGGUGAACCUAACAAUGCUGGGGAUGAACACUGUAUCGAGUUCUAUGAGAAGAAUGGAAACGGCUACAUGUGGAAUGAUAGAGGUUGUUUCGAUGAGAUAUAUCCGAUAUGUGAAUCUUUUGAAUAGGAUCAUUAUGAUAAGUCUGCUUUUUAUUUUGGUUAGGAAUUACAAAAAUAUGUUACCUUU
rnacentral:lncRNA from 1 species